AAGUCGUAACAAGGUUUCCGUAGGUGAACCUGCGGAAGGAUCAUUAAAAAAAGAGAAACGUCCCGUUUUUUUUCAUAAGAAUGGGUUCUAUUCCCUUAAACCGUGUCUACAUACCUUUGUUGCUUUGGCAGGCCGCCUUCGGGCGUCGGCUCCGGCUGAUAGUGCCUGCCAGAGGACCCAAACUCUAUGUUUAGUGAUGUCUGAGUACUAUAUAAUAUUUAAAACUUUCAACAACGGAUCUCUUGGUUCUG
rnacentral:misc_RNA from 1 species